AACACCAGCAAGGACCUGUAAUGUCAGCUGUGGACUUUGGGUGAUGAUGACGUGUCAGCUGUGACAAAUGCCCCACUCCAGACGAGGAUGUUGAUAAUGGGAAAUAAAAGGAACAGAAGGUCCUGAAGUAUUGAAGGAAAAUUAAAUCCCACCGUUGAAUGGUGUGGAAUCUGGGGGAGGCUGGCACUCCGGGAGGCUCCUAGGAAAGCCACCUUCCUGCUCGGAUCCCAGCCGGCGUGGGGAUGCUGCCACCUUCUGUCCCAGUGGCCACCGCCCAUCGCUGCCGCUCUAAUGGAGGAAAAUGCAAGCACAACAGCCAGACUCAGGGGCUGGGCCAUAAUGCAAAAUGCAGUGCAUGAUGGAUCCAUCACUUCUCAUGCACGUUGGAGAAACAGCCCAUCUCCUCUUCAGGAUGUGAAGUAUGGUGGGCCCAACCCCAUCUGAAUCGAGAGAUCACAGAAGGCGAGCUUGCCUCAGGGGCAUCUACUCCCUCUUCCAAGCACCUAAAUAGGAGGGACAGGGUCUAAUUAGGCACUAAUGAAGUAGAACUUAGGGAGAGAAAAUGCCAACCUGAGUUCCUGGCACUUCUGUCCAGCAACGCUAAGGUCUCAGGAUUCUGUUUUGGCGUCUGGAUGAAAGAACUGUGUUCCUGAAAUGUUAAUUACAGUUGUUCUUUUUUUAAGUAACCAUACUAAGACAUACAUUUACAUAAUCACAGGAGACUUAUCCCAGGAAUAAAACUGACAGCUCCCUCCA